AUUCCAGCUCCAAUAGCGUAUAUUAAUGUUGUUGCAGUUAAAAGCUCGUAGUUGGAUUUCUGGUCGGAACGCCGGUCCGGCUCCGCAAGGGGUCGUGUAUUGGUUUCUCCUGCCAUCCUCAGGGGGAGCUGCGCUGGUAUUCAUUUAUCGGCGUGGUUACGCCUGUCGUUUACUGUGAACAAAUUAGAGUGUUCAAAGCAAGGUGUACUUGAAUACAUUAGCAUGGAAUAAUAAGAUAGGACUUUGGUGGUUCUUUUUGAUAUUUUGUUGGUUUGCACGCCAAAGUAAUGAUUAAUAGGAGCAGUUGGGGGUAUUCGUAUUCAAUUGUCAGAGGUGAAAUUCUUGGAUUUAUAGAAGACGAACUACUGCGAAAGCAUUUACCAAGGAUGUUUUCAUUA
rnacentral:rRNA from 1 species